UCAAGUGCCAUGGCAGAGUGCUCACAGAUCAAGAUUCUUAUUAAUUUCCUCUCACAGCUGUCAGCACAUGGAGCCGAGCAGCAGGAAGAACAACACAAGAACUGCAAGAGAAGAGGACAGCUUGGGCGAGGGGAAGCUGCAUGAUCUAAUGAUCAAGGAUCCUGAAAGUCAAGAAGCGUGUUCUAUUCCCAUCUCCAACACUGACUUGCUCUCACGCAGACAAGUCACUUCACAUCUGUCUGCCUGUAUUUCACCUCUUGUCUAGAUGGUUAUUCCAUUGGAGAAGAUGAUCUGGCCUGAAGUUAUCAAUGCAGGACCAAAAAUGCAGUAGAAAACUUAGAUCCACUUGUGCAAGGAGCUCUGUUCAGGUGGACCCCUGCAGAGCUUCACUGACUUCAGCAGGUCUCCAUGAGGGUGCAAGGUCCACUCAUAGAGGACUCCUUGGAGGAUCAGGGCCUUUAUCUGAAAGUAAUGUCUGGCUUGCAAUAUGUUAUUUCCUACUUACUGACCUAUCAUGAACAGUGGAACUGGAGUCAGAAGGCCAGUGUUCCCUGGAGUGACAGUUAUUAACAGGACACCAGUGAAAUGGAAUGCUGGGGCAUUUGGGUGAAAGCAACUCAGCUACAUGAACUGCACACAACAUUGAAUGAAUUCCACUUGUUCAGCUUAAACUGCAUUUAUUUUCUCGCUUUAUGAAUGAAACAACAAUGAGCACAGUUCUGAACCCAAGCAGGCAGAUCCUCUUGCCUCCACCCAGUCCCUUUAUUCUCUCACACAUUAAAUCCAGUUGCCUCAGACAUUUACACGGUGGCGGGUGGAGUUCCAGGGGCAAUUAGGAUUGCCACCCAUCUGGGUUUUAAACAGACUGUCCGGUUUUUGGCUUCUGUGUCUGGGUGCCAUCUAGAGUUGCCAGGUGCCUGGUUUUCAACUGGAAAGUCUGGUCGAAAAGGGGACCCGGCAGUGUCUGGUCAAAUGUACUGACUGGACACUAAAAGUCCGGUUACCAGGGGGCAUGCGGAGGUGCCAGCUCAGCUGGGGCUACCUGCAGGCAAGCUCCUUGUCAGGCUGCAGCAGCUCCCAUCUCAGCCCCAGAGCAUAGGGAGCCCAGCUGGGGAGGUGGGAGCGGGAGGGAAGGGAGGUGGAGAUGAUCCAGUGAGCAACAGGGUGAGGAAGAAGGAGGAGCAAGUGGUGGGGUGGGGCCUUGGUGGGAAGAGGUGGAGCAGGGGUGGGACCUCGAGGGUCUGGUUAGAAAGGUGGCAACCUUAGGGGUAAUCCCUGCCUCAGUUGCCCUAAUGGAGACUAAAUUCCUACAGCAAAGCACUUAAGUAUGUGCUUUAUUUAAAACACUUAAACAGUCCUAUUGAAAUCAAUGAGCCUAUUCACAUGCUUAAGAUUAGGCACAUACUUAACACUUUGCUGGAUUGGGGCCUAGGUUGGCAAAUUGCCUUCUGGCUGAUUUCUUAGAAGUCCUGGGGUGCAGUGGUAGAUUAGCCACUGCGGGGCCCAUGGAGCUCUGGCCAACUGGGGGGCCCACAGUUUCCGCCCAGACGGUGGGAUGGAGGAAGCCCACACACACCCCGUUCCCGGCAAAAGCCGCAGGACGGGGGAAGCCCCCCCAGUGGUGGCACCGACCCCAUCCUUGACAGAAGCUGCAGGAUGGGGGAAGCCUCCCCCUGUGCUCCCGACCGCAUCCCCAUGAGAAACCGCGGGACAGCAGGGGAAGCCCGUGCCUUACCUCGCUCUCCGGCAGAAGUGCCGGGAGAAGCCCCAGUGCUCCGACCCUGGUCCCCUGCAGAAGUGCAGCACCCAGACCCCAACUCCAGCCCUAGGACUGGAGAAGCUCUCACUUCUCACUAUGGCCCCGGGGCCGUGGCGCGGAGACAGGUCAUCUCCAGUCUUGGGGCUGCUGUGGAGGGGUGCAGAAAGGAGCAAAUGGAUUGUGGGGCGGCAGAAUUGGAGGGGGCCCUGGGUGGAACAGGGACAGAAAGGGGUGGGGCAGUGGGCAUUGCCAGAGAAAAGGGGCAAGAAUGGGGGCAGGCCACAGGCGGAAGGGCUGGCCCCCCCACUGACUCCGGCCCAGGGCCCUGGGAAACCUUAAUCUGACUGUGCUGCAGUGGUUUUUGUAAAUAUGGCACCAGUGUCUAUUAAGUACACACAUGUUGAUGUCUGAUGUGCAUAUGUAUUAAUGCAGUUAAAGGAGUAUGUGCUUCAUAGAGGUAUCAGUGUGAAACUUAAAGGAAACAUAGUUCUGCCUCCUAAAGUGCAUGCCUGUGGGUUUCCUCUUAUCUUUAAAGAAAGAUUAAUUCCUUCUGCAUUUAUGUAAAAUUAAUGUUGCACUGACUGAAGGACAGAAAAUGCAAGAGUUAAGGGUUCCAGUGCAACCUUAAGUAUCAGAGGGGUA